rnacentral:rRNA from 1 species
AAGAUUAAGCCAUGCAUGUCUAAGUAUAAGCAAUUUAUACAGUGAAACUGCGAAUGGCUCAUUAAAUCAGUUAUAGUUUAUUUGAUAGUACCUUACUACUUGGAUAACCGUGGUAAUUCUAGAGCUAAUACAUGCUAAAAACCCCGACUGCUCGGGAGGGGUGUAUUUAUUAGAUAAAAAAUCAAUGCCCUCGGGCUCUUUGAUGAUUCAUAAUAACUUGUCGAAUCGCAU